AGCGAACGCUGGCGGCGUGCUUAACACAUGCAAGUCGAGCGAGAAAGGGGGCUUCGGCCCCUGAGUACAGCGGCGAACGGGUGCGUAAUACAUGAGCAAUCUACCCUUGAGGCGGGAAUAACCCAGCGAAAGUUGGGCUAAUACCGGAUAAGACCACAAGAGGAGACCCUAGAGGCUAAAGGCAGCUCUCUUUUGGGGGCGGCCCUUUGAGGAGGAGCUCAUGUCCUAUCAGCUAGUUGGUAGGGUAACGGCCUACCAAGGCGAAGACGGGUAGCUGUCUUAGAGGAUGAUCAGCCACACGGGGACUGAGACACGGCCCCGACUCCUACGGGAGGCAGCAGGUGGGGAAUAUUGGGCAAUGGGGGAAACCCUGACCCAGCGACGCCGCGUGGGUGAUGAAGGCC
rnacentral:rRNA from 1 species